rnacentral:misc_RNA from 1 species
GAUGAAGAACGCAGCGAAAUGCGAUAACUAAUGUGAAUUGCAGAAUUCAGAGAAUCAUCGAGUCUUUGAACGCACAUUGCGCCCCCUGGUAUUCCGGGGGGCAUGCCUGUCCGAGCGUCAUUGCUGCCCUCAAGCACGGCUUGUGUGUUGGGCUCCGUCCCCCCGGGGACGGGCCCGAAAGGCAGCGGCGGCACCGAGUCCGGUCCUCGAGCGUAUGGGGCUUUGUCACCCGCUCUGUAGGCCCGGCCGGCGCCAGCCGACAACCCAUCAUCCUUUUCAGGUUGACCUCGGAUCAGGUAGGGAUACCCGCUGAACUUAAGCAUAUCAAUAAGCGGAGGA